rnacentral:lncRNA from 1 species
UUUGCGGUUGACGGGAAGGUUUUGCUCUCUCUUCAAGUAAGAUACGAUGCAUGCACGUAGUCGGGCUAGUUCCUUUAAUAUCUGCAAUUGUCCAACAAAUAGCCGUUUGAUGCUCCUUAAGGAUCUGCACAAGCUUUUCUUCUUACGGUGCACUAACUUUAUUGGAGAUGAUCACUGGUAAUGUUCCUCUGUCUCCAAGGAACACGUACUUGAGGUGACUGGGGAGAGGCUUCAAAUCUAUAAUAGGGGCCUGCAAAACAGAGGGUAAAGGCCUUUCAUUAGAAACUGGUAAUGCAAUAUAAGAAACGUUACCUGACUGCUGUAACUUUGAAAAAUUAUUCAAUGCUGCAAUAAUUUUCUGCAAAU